AACGAACGCUGGCGGCGUGGAUAAGACAUGCAAGUCGAACGGGAUUUUUUUCUGUAGCAAUACAGAGAAAAGUCUAGUGGCGAACGGGUGCGUAACACGUGAGCAACCUGCCGUGAAGUGGGGGAUAGCUCGCCGAAAGGCGAAUUAAUACCGCAUGUGGCCAAGGAAGACAUCUUCCUGACGCCAAAGCCGGGGCAACCUGGCGCUUCUCGAGGGGCUCGCGGCCUAUCAGCUCGUUGGUGAGGUAACGGCUCACCAAGGCUAUGGCGGGUAGCUGGUCUGAGAGGACGACCAGCCACACUGGAACUGAGACACGGUCCAGACACCUACGGGUGGCAGCAGUCGAGAAUUUUUCACAAUGGGGGAAACCCUGAUGGAGCGACGCCGCGUGGAGGAUGAAGGUUUUCGGAUUGUAAACUCCUGUCAUUAGAGAACAAGGCACACGGUUUAACUGGCCGUGUGUUGAUAGUAUCUGAAGAGGAAGAGACGGCUAACUCUGUGCCAGCCGCCGCCGUAA
rnacentral:rRNA from 1 species